GUCGAACGGUAACAGGAAGCAGCUUGCUGCUUCGCUGACGAGUGGCGGACGGGUGAGUAAUGUCUGGGAAACUGCCUGAUGGAGGGGGAUAACUACUGGAAACGGUAGCUAAUACCGCAUAACGUCGCAAGACCAAAGAGGGGGACCUUCGGGCCUCUUGCCAUCGGAUGUGCCCAGAUGGGAUUAGCUAGUAGGUGGGGUAACGGCUCACCUAGGCGACGAUCCCUAGCUGGUCUGAGAGGAUGACCAGCCACACUGGAACUGAGACACGGUCCAGACUCCUACGGGAGGCAGCAGUGGGGAAUAUUGCACAAUGGGCGCAAGCCUGAUGCAGCCAUGCCGCGUGUAUGAAGAAGGCCUUCGGGUUGUAAAGUACUUUCAGCGGGGAGGAAGGCGAUAAGGUUAAUAACCUUGUCGAUUGACGUUACCCGCAGAAGAAGCACCGGCUAACUCCGUGCCAGCAGCCGCGGUAAUACGGAGGGUGCAAGCGUUAAUCGGAAUUACUGGGCGUAAAGCGCACGCAGGCGGUCUGUCAAGUCGGAUGUGAAAUCCCCGGGCUCAACCUGGGAACUGCAUUCGAAACUGGCAGGCUAGAGUCUUGUAGAGGGGGG
rnacentral:rRNA from 1 species